GCAUGAUUCACGGUUAAAAUCCUGUAAUUCUGACUGGACAAGACCCUUGCCUUUCUGUGUGUGACACCAUGGGAUUUCAGGUUUGUGCUUCCAUAAUUCUGCUGGUGUAAGGAUUUCUUUUUGGUUUUCCACUUUUAUCCACUGGAGCUGGAUUGGCAAUUGCAUUUGCUCGGGAAGCUAAGCUCACGAGCCUGCCGUUCCUGUGCCCCUGCCUGGGACCCGAGCGCUUUGUGGAUGUUUUGCUGUCACGAGUAUGCUUGUCCUUUGCGCACAGUGGCAGUAUCCAUUUGGGUAGCUUGUACACCUGGGAUGAGAUGUAGAAUUACAUGUCAGGCAGCAUGGGAGCUCCGAAUCCUGAGCAUUCAUCAUCUCAGCUAACGCAGUGUGACCGAGGGAGGAAUUUGAUCCAUGAUUUCUGUGUCUAUGCCAGAUCCAUUUCUGACCAUUACAUUGGUAUUGGUAUUGACCCAAAAUGACAUCCUUUUUAAAUGUCUACUAUAGGAAUUUUUCCAAAAUCACUUUCUUAGAGGUGUAUAUCCAUUAUUAUUUUAGAGGAGGUCUCUCGCUUACUCAGGUCCACGCAUGCUGUAAACCAGUUUCCUUUCCUGGAACCUGAUGUUCCUUCGUUGGUUUACGUGGACUGAGCAUCUACCCUGUGUUCCAUCUGUGUGCUUGUGAGGAGUUUCCUUCACUUCCUUUUAAUUUAAUUCAAUUAUUUUGUAUAGGGUUGAAUUCUGUAAACUGUAUGUCACCUUUGAGGAAAGAAAAAUGAAAACAUCAGGUAAUGUUUUUGUGAUUCACUCUUAUUUUCGCCAAAUUUCUUGCAAAAGCAAAUGUGAUCCUUUAUUCUUGUAUCCGAAUCAUUUUCUGCCGUUGCUAGAAGGUAAUUGUUGCUGGUUUUUAUUUAAUAAAAAAAAAAAAAAGACACCCGCCCCUUCCUCCCCCUCACCAUCCCUUUUCAUUUUUUAACAUAAAUCUGAAAAUCCUUUUUGAGUCAGUAAACAGGACACCUGUCAGCCAACUGUGUGCUGAAUUUCUAUAACUUACAGAAAGACUGGUCAUAAAGUGCUUAAAGCUCUGGGGACUUGGGUACCACCCAGUGCAGAACGGAUUAAUUUCACGGUGUUUUUCUGCAUUUGCACAAAUUAAAAAUAUGAGAGUCUGUGCUUUGUUUGUUUGAACUUCUUGAAUUAGAUUUCUUCAAUUAGUUUUGUGCUCAGGUUUGGUAACUCAGCAUUUUCCAGAAGUCUCCAAAUUCCUACAAGUUUAAUGCCAGUCAGAUCUGCAGACCUGCUUUUGUCCCAUUAGUACCCGAUGCAAAAGGAUUUGUUUCUGUAGUCUCUGUUCAUCACUAGUUUUCUCCACUUGGAUGUCACCCUUGCUCAUACGUCUCAGACCUAAUGUUCCUACGUUAUCAUGUCACCUACAAUAUGUAAUCUCGGGCCUUAAUUUCACCACAUCCUCAAACAGUUUUGAUGCUUCACGUUGGAAUCGGUGUUUAUAGAGAUUGAACAAUGGCUCCAGCAAUCUCUUAUGGUUGUUUUGUGGCAAUCGUGCUUUGAUUAACAAUGGGAGAUUCUUGGUGAUUCCAUGUAAUAUAAUUAAACUCGGUUUAACUUUAGCCAAGAUUGUCCAGAUCUUUUGGAAAUUUGCUUUUCUUCUUUCUAAUGAGAUCUGGUAAGUCUUUUCUUUCCCUCCUUUUUGUUCUUGCAGAAAGUUGCUAUGAAAACAAUACCUUUUAAACCUGUUGAAA